GACGAACGCUGACGGCGUGCCUAAUACAUGCAAGUCGAGCGGACCGAACAGGAGCUUGCUCUUGUUCGGUUAGCGGCGGACGGGUGAGUAACACGUGGGUAACCUGCCCGUAAGACCGGGAUAACUCCGGGAAACCGGAGCUAAUACCGGAUAACACCGAAGACCGCAUGGUCUUUGGUUGAAAGGCGGCUUCGGCUGCCACUUACGGAUGGGCCCGCGGCGCAUUAGCUAGUUGGUGAGGUAACGGCUCACCAAGGCGACGAUGCGUAGCCGGCCUGAGAGGGUGACCGGCCACACUGGGACUGAGACACGGCCCAGACUCCUACGGGAGGCAGCAGUAGGGAAUCUUCCGCAAUGGACGAAAGUCUGACGGAGCGACGCCGCGUGAGCGAAGAAGGUCUUCGGAUCGUAAAGCUCUGUUGUUAGGGAAGAAGAAGCGUCGUUCGAACAGGGCGGCGCGGUGACGGUACCUAACGAGAAAGCCCCGGCUAACUACGUG
rnacentral:rRNA from 1 species